rnacentral:rRNA from 1 species
AACGAACGCUGGCGGCAUGCCUAACACAUGCAAGUCGAACGAGAACUUCGGGUCUAGUGGCGCACGGGUGCGUAACGCGUGGGAACCUGCCCUUAGGUUCGGAAUAACUCCCCGAAAGGGGUGCUAAUACCGGAUAAUGUAUUCGGACCAAAGAUGUAUGGCCUUUGGAUGGGCCCGCGUUGGAUUCGUGGGUUGGUAGGGUACAAGCCUACCAAGGAGAGGAUGCAUGGCUGGUCUGAGAGGAGGAGAAGCCACGCUUGGGCUGAGGCACGGACCAGAACCGGAGGGAGGGGUGGAGUAGGGAAUAUUGGGGAAGGGGCGAAAGCCUGAUACAGCAACGCGGGGGGAGUGAUGAAGGCGUUAGGGUUGUAAAGCUCUUUGACCCGGGAUGAGAAUGACAGUACCGGGAGAAGAAGCACCGGCUAACUACGUG